rnacentral:rRNA from 1 species
GUGGGGAAUUUUGGACAAUGGGCGCAAGCCUGAUCCAGCCAUUCCGCGUGCAGGAUGAAGGCCUUCGGGUUGUAAACUGCUUUUGUACGGAACGAAAAGCCUCUGGUUAAUACCCGGGGGUCAUGACGGUACCGUAAGAAUAAGCACCGGCUAACUACGUGCCAGCAGCCGCGGUAAUACGUAGGGUGCGAGCGUUAAUCGGAAUUACUGGGCGUAAAGCGUGCGCAGGCGGUGAUGUAAGACAGUUGUGAAAUCCCCGGGCUCAACCUGGGAAUUGCGCUUGUGACUGCAAGGCUGGAGUGCGGCAGAGGGGGAUGGAAUUCCGCGUGUAGCAGUGAAAUGCGUAGAUAUGCGGAGGAACACCGAUGGCGAAGGCAAUCCCCUGGGCCUGCACUGACGCUCAUGCACGAAAGCGUGGGGAGCAAACAGGAUUAGAUACCCCAGUAGUCC